UCUGGUGCCAGCAGCCGCGGUAAUUCCAGCUCCAAUAGCGUAUAUUAAAGUUGUUGCAGUUAAAAAGCUCGUAGUUGAAUUUCGAGAUCAAUAUGUCGGUCGUGCCUCGGUACGUACUGGCAUCGUUGGUUUCUACCUUCUGAUGAACCAUAAUGCCAUUCAUUUGGUGUUUUGGGGAAUCAGGACUGUUACUUUGAAAAAAUUAGAGU
rnacentral:rRNA from 1 species